rnacentral:misc_RNA from 1 species
UAGGUACGCCGAUAUCCGCGUUUUACGGAACCGAUAAAUGUGCUAAAAUUCUGUGCCACGCUUUUUGAAGUUCACAUUUGGAGAGAUUUUUUAAAUAUUAAACUAAUAUAUCUCAUGGUUAUUACUUAAUAUGGAAAUAUUUUGACUUGCAAAAUUCGUACCAGUUAUUCUGAGUGGCAAACAGGUACUGUUAUUGUAAGUGUCAAAGUGAGUGGUAAGGAUCAUUUAACUUUUUUUUAGUGAUAUACAUAUUUAAGACAAAUAAACUUGUAACCUAUUAUUUAAAUAUUAUUUUUUUUUGAUUUGUUUUACAUUUCUAAAUUUAUUAAGAAACUCAUCAGUUGUAACUAUUUAAUGCUUUAAUGGUAUAAUGGGUCGACACAUAUUUAAAGGAGAAUUCAAAAAACAUUUAAUUAGUAAUUUUACAUUGCCAUCUAACACAAAUAUUGGGUGCAUGAAUGGACACGUUCUGUUUCUUUAUACUAGCAAUGGUGAGUUGUUUAGCAAAACAGCUGCAAAAGUCAAUGAGCAUUUUAACUUGAAUAUUUGCUCCAGUCAUAUCAAAAAAGUAGUGUACAUAGCCAAAAACUGGUCUAAAAAUUUUUUAAGAAAAUAUGAAAGUUGUGUUGCAUUUUGUAAUGAGCCCUUUAUAAACCGUGAACCACUGAUUACAAUUUUAUCGCAGCCUAUCUUAAGUAACACUAAUUACACAAUAUCACAUUCUUCUGUUUUAUCAUUGUCAGAACACAGCAGUGUCACAUCUCUGAUACGUAAUGAACCUUCAUGUUCUGCUGGACAUGAAGCAAAUUUAACUACUAGACAGACUUCAAUAGAAAAAUUGAGCCCUAGGAAGAAAAAAUUAACUAACCGGUUGUCUCAUUUGUCUUCUAGAUUAGCAAUUUCUUCAAUAGAAAAUCGUAAGAAGAUAGCUUCAAUGAAAGCAAAAUUAUCCAGCCUGCCAUAUAAAUUAAAAGUUCUAAGGCAAAGUGUUAAAAAAAAAGAAGAUAUUAUAAAAGCCUUAAGAGCUCAGGUUAGAGACUUAAAACAUAAAAACCAAACAUAUUAUUACAGCAGGCAAAUUCGCAAUCUUAUUGCAUCAAAAAAAGCAAUAAAAAUUAAAGAGAGAGAAAAGUUUAGAAAGUUAGCUCUCAAACAUAAUGCUGCGAUUAGAAAAAAUAAUACGGAUAUUACUAGCUUAGAAGAUAGUUUGACCCAAAUGGACGAAGACAAGAUAAGUAUUACAAAUACAACUGAUUGUAAAAGCUAUCCAUUAAAAAUGAGAAUGAUAAUAUACUGCAUGUUAUUGUGUAAUGUCCCAACAAGUAACAUUCCAUUUCUAGUAAGCAAAAUUGGGCAAUAUUUCAGUGUUAUUUUUUCUCACAUUCCUUGUCGUAGCACUAUUGAGCAAAUGGCUCGUGAGCUUGGCAGUAUUGCUGAUCUGCAGGCAGCUGAAUGGAUCAUUAGUAAUACUCAUCUUACUCUUGGGUUUGACGCAACUACACAAGAAGGUGUUCAUAUCAACAGUAUUCACUUAACUUCAAAUGAUAAAUGCCAGGUAAUUGCUGUUGAUCAAUUACCAGGUGGGACAGCUGUGGAUUAUGCGAACCAUAUAUGUAACGAAGUGGAUCAUACAGCUUUAGUAUAUUCAAACUUUCACUUGAAACCCUUUGAAGAAUGUCGUCGUAUGGUCAUAUCAAAUAUUUCAAACACAAUGUCGGACAGAGUAUCUGUUAACCAUCUUACAAUAAGAAAAAUUGGUGAAACUUGGGGUAAAAGUCUCAAUGAAUUAAACUGUCAUUUGCACCCUCUUGACACAAUUGCCACAUCGUGUCGUUCAGCAUUAAAGUCUCUAGAGCUUGAUAGCUGCGAAUUAUAUGGAAAUGAUUGUAUAGCUGCAAAAAUUGUUUUGGCUAUGAAUAAGAUGAGGUUCAAAGAUGGUAAAGGUGACCCAAAGGGAUUUGUUAAUUUUUUAGACAAUAAUAAACUACCACGAGGUAUCAUUCCAAGGUAUCGUGGAAAUCGCCUUCACAUUCUGUUCCACACUUGUUUUAUUUUUAUAAAACAUUAUAACAAAUUUUUACAUUUUUUAACUAUAGGAACAGUAAAAAUAAAAACUUUACAAAGGGUUCUGCGAGUAGCAUUUUGUAAUACAACUGCUAUAAAGCAAAUGUGUCUACUUGCUUUAUUUGGAAAACUUCUUACAGGGCCGUGGAUGACAAUGUUUUAUGUGUCAUCUGAGAAAGCAUAUUUUGAUCAUGUUGGUGGUAUCCAGAUUGUUAAAAAUGUUGUGCAAACAAUUAAAGACUGCAAAUGCAAUCCAGCUGCAAUAUUUUGCAGAACAACAGAUUUUUUUGGAAAUGCUCUCAAAGCAAAUGUGUUAGAACCAUUAACAAAAAUAUGUAGAAUUGAUGACGAGCUCAUUGCCAUGAUCUUGGCUUGCCUCAAUGCAAUAGAAGUGGUUUUAAAUCGACAGUAUAAGCGCUAUUUUUCCAUUACCAUUACAGAAGCACUUGAAAAAGAAACAGCUAGUGCAAGGCUUCAUAACAUAGAUAGUGAAGAGUUAAUGGGAAUGUUCAGUGCUGCAAAAGGAAGAUCUCCUAAUGCAUCUAUUGAUUAUAUAUCUUGCAAAUUACGAACCAAAAAGAAUGGGACAAUGGAUUAUCUGGAUAAUCUUGAUGACUUUUCUAGAAAAAUGGUAGUUCAGUGGUCUAUUCAGGCAGCACGUAAAAAACGAAUAAAAACUCGACUACAACAUACUGAAAUUAGAGCUGAGAUUUCUAAAAGACAGACUAUAAAACGCCAAAAAAUUGAUGAAAAAGAAAAAAGAAAGUUAGAGCAACAAUUAACAUUAUUAACUAUUAGUGAAAUUCUGAAUUUGUUUAAAAACUUAUCUACCAAGCAAAUUGAUGAUUUAAAUGAUGUUAUGUGUGAAAGAAUUGUUGGGAGAAAUCUUUGCCAUGAAUGGUAUGAUUCCGAUACAGCAAUGACAGUCUUGUAUAAUGGCAGAGUAGAAAAACUUAAAAAAGCUCAGAAAGAUAUUAUAUACACUAUUUCUUAUUGGACUAGAGAAGAAAAUGAUACUGAAGUAAUAUACUUAAUAUAUAGUUUCAUUAAUGGAAUUUAAUAUCUUAAUCAUUAACUAAAAGCCAAGACGCAAACUAAUUAGAAUAAUAUUAUAAAACAUUUUUUGUUUUUGAAAUUCUUUUUUAGGUCAGAGGGGGAACCAUCUAUAACUAUCACAAAGCAUUGUGUGAUGUAUUUUGAGUUUUGCUUCUUUUUUUUAGGUUGUCAAAAAAAAAGGAAGAGGGGGGGCAACGACACGCCCCCUCGCCCAUCUACACCCUUGAAACAAAGGGUGCGCUGCUAGUGAUUUUGUAUAGUAGUAAAAUAAAAUUUUUGAUUUGAAUACUAGAUUUCUUUUUAAUUAUAAAGAUAAAUAUUUAUAUAGAGUCAUUUUUGAUAAUAGGGUGUAUUAAACUAUCACCCUUACAUCCACCCAAAGGCAAUGAUGAGUCUUCUAUAUUUGAUUGUGAUCUGAUAGCUAAUUACAAAAACAUCUUGCAUAUAAAAAUUUACAUUUUCA